GAUGAACGCUGGCGGCGUGCCUAACACAUGCAAGUCGAACGGAGUCGUUUUGGAAAUCUCUUCGGAGAUGGAAUUCUCGACUUAGUGGCGGACGGGUGAGUAACGCGUGAGCAAUCUGCCUUUAAGAGGGGGAUAACAGUCGGAAACGGCUGCUAAUACCGCAUAAAGCAUUAAAUUCGCAUGUUUUUGAUGCCAAAGGAGCAAUCCGCUUUUAGAUGAGCUCGCGUCUGAUUAGCUAGUUGGCGGGGUAACGGCCCACCAAGGCGACGAUCAGUAGCCGGACUGAGAGGUUGAACGGCCACAUUGGGACUGAGACACGGCCCAGACUCCUACGGGAGGCAGCAGUGGGGAAUAUUGCGCAAUGGGGGAAACCCUGACGCAGCAACGCCGCGUGAUUGAAGAAGGCCUUCGGGUUGUAAAGAUCUUUAAUCAGGGACGAAACAAAUGACGGUACCCGAAGAAUAAGCUCCGGCUAACUACGUG
rnacentral:rRNA from 1 species